CGGGCCGCCCCGCCCACAGCCUCCCCUGCUCGCCUCCUCCUCACCUCUCCUCCUUGCAGGUUCCCGUGCGCACCCCUCAGAGCCGAGGCCGCGCUGGCCGUGAGGGCUCCUCCUCGGCCCCUCGCCCGCCCCCCAGAGCCGCCAUCCCUGCUGUUACAAGCCAGAGGCACCCGGAUGUGAGGCCCCAGAUCACCUCCAGGGACUUGGGGUUCCGAACUGAAAUCCUUUAUUUUUGUACCUCGGGGUGGGCCCCCGGCUCCAGGCAGAGGAAGCACCCUCCCCCCUGCCACUUCUGUCUACACCUGGGGGGCUUUGAUUUCCUCCCGCCUCUGGGGCCCUCUCAAGGCCCGAGGUGGGCCCUGGGACCCCUAGGCAGAGCCGCCUGUGUGUGGCCCAAGUGUGGCUCUGUCCAGCUGUGUUUCCCACACCCCCAUGGCCCUUCCCCCAGGUCCCCCAGCUGCAUGAACGAUACCCUCCCCCCUGACCCAGUCACAUCUCCUCCCUGAGCCUUAGUCUCCUCGUCUGUCAAAUGGGCUCACUCUCCCCGCCGCCACCACCUACCUCACAGGGUUGUUGUGAGGUUACAAAGAGGAGCAAGGUCCCAGAAAGCCCUGGGGAAGUGUACAAAGCACCAGACUGGAGGGUGGCCUUCCCUUCACCCUUCCCUCGGAGGGGGAGGACCUGCUCAGCCCCAGAUGGAGAUUCAGGUAUUGAUGGGGCGAAGGGUGUGGGGGUUGGCCUUGUGGGGAGAAGAGGGAGGGUGACCCAGCCUUCACCUUGGCUCCUCCCACCCGUCCGCACUGCUGGCUGCAGAGGGCCCUGGCCAGGAGGGGCCAGGAGGGGGCAGGCGGGGGCUCAGCAGGGGCAGGGGGCCAUUCAGGAACUAGUGCUAAGGGCCAGGGGGACACUCCUCCCUUUGCCCAGGGGAGAGUCUGGGGGUAGCAGGGGCUGAGCAGGAGCCCCCUCCUGCAUUUAGGAUCCCCCAGGCUGUGUCCAACCCCGCCAUGUAAUAAAGCCUGAAGAAACAGCC